rnacentral:rRNA from 1 species
AUAAGUUACUAAGGGCACACGGGGGAUGCCUUGGCUCUCAGAGGCGAAGAAAGACGUGAUAAGCUGCGAUAAGCUACGGGGAAUGGCAAAUACAUAUUGAUCCGUAGAUUUCUGAAUGGGGAAACCCGGCUGGUUGAAGACCAGUCACACGUAAGUGGGCGAACGCGCUGAACUGAAACAUCUAAGUAAGCGUAGGAAGAGAAAACAAUAGUGAUUUCCGGAGUAGUGGCGAGCGAAAUGGAAAUAGCCCAAACCAAGAUUGUUUCGGCAAUUUUGGGGUUGUAGGGCUGCAAUGUGGACUAUUAUAUUAUAGAGGAAGUGUUUGGAAAGUCACUCCAAAGAAGGUGAAAGGCCUGUACUCGAAAUAGUAUGAUUACCUAGCAGUACCCUGAGUAGGGCGGGACAUGUGGAAUCCUGUCUGAAUCAACCGGAACCAUCCGGUAAGGCUAAAUACUCCUGAGAGACCGAUAGUGAACCAGUACCGUGAGGGAAAGGUGAAAAGAACCCUGAACAAGGGAGUGAAAAAGACCCUGAAACCGUGUGCCUACAAGCGGUCGGAGCGCAUUUAAUGUGUGACGGCGUGCCUUUUGCAUAAUGAUCCUACGAGUUACUCCUCAUUGGCAAGGUUAAGUGUUUAAGACAACGGAGCCGAAGCGAAAGCGAGUCUGAAUAGGGCGCUUUAGUCAGUGGGGGUAGACGCGAAACCUUGUGAUCUACCCAUGGGCAGGUUGAAGUUCCAGUAACAUGGAAUGGAGGACCGAACCGAUAAACGUUGAAAAGUUUCCGGAUGACCUGUGGGUAGGGGUGAAAGGCCAAUCAAACUGGGAAAUAGCUCGUACUCCCCGAAAUGCAUUUAGGUGCAGCGUUCAGGUAGAGUUUUAUAGAGGUAGAGCUACUGAUAGGGCUAGGGGGCUUCACCGCCUACCAAACCCUGACAAACUCCGAAUGCUAUAAAAUAUACUGAGCAGUGAGGGCAUGGGUGCUAAGGUCCAUGUCCGAGAGGGAAAGAACCCAGACCAUCAGCUAAGGUCCCCAAAUGUAUACUAAGUUGUGUAAACGUGGUGCGAUUGCAUUGACAGCUAGGAUGUUGGCUUGGAAGCAGCCAUUCAUUUAAAGAGUGCGUAACAGCUCACUAGUCGAGCGAUCGUGCGUGGAUAAUAAGCGGGCAUUAAGUAUACUACCGAAGCUAUGGAUUUCAUAGUAAUAUGGACUGGUAGGGGAGCAUUCUAUUCAGCGUAGAAGGUGCAUGGUGAUGUGUGCUGGAGCGGAUAGAAAAGCAAAUGUAGGAAUAAGUAACGAUAAUGCAGGCGAGAAACCUGCACACCGAAAGACUAAGGUUUCCUGGGCGACGCUAAUCGUCCCAGGGUUAGUCGGGACCUAACGCGAACCCGCAAGGGGUAGUGGAUGGCAAACGGGUUAAUAUUCCCGUACUUGCUUUAACUGCGAUGGGGUGACGGAGUAAUGAAAGGACCGCGUACUGACGGAAUAGUACGUUGAAGAUUGUAGCUAUAGGCUGUAUAGGUAAAUCCGUACGGCUUGGUGAAGAUCGAUAGUACCGAGCGUCUUCGGACAAUUGGAUAGUGUCCCUAAGGGCUUCCUAGAAAAACCUCUAAGCUUCAGGUUAAAGCAACUCGUACCGUAAACCGACACAGGUAGUCGAGGAGAGAAUCCUAAGGUGCUCGAGUGAUUCAUGGCUAAGGAACUAGGCAAAAUGGUCUCGUAACUUCGGGAGAAGAGACGCCACAGCAAUGUGGCCGCAGUGAAUAGACCCAGGCGACUGUUUAUCAAAAACACAUGGCUUUGCAAAAUCGAAAGAUGAAGUAUAAGGCCUGACACCUGCCCGGUGCCGGAAGGUUAAGAGGAGAUGUUAGUUUCGGCGAAGCAUUGAAUUGAAGCCCCGGUAAACGGCGGCCGUAACUAUAACGGUCCUAAGGUAGCGAAAUUCCUUGUCGGGUAAGUUCCGACCUGCACGAAUGGUGUAACGAUCUGGGUACUGUCUCAGCCAUGAGCUCGGUGAAAUUGUAGUAUCGGUGAAGAUGCCGAUUACCCGCAACGGGACGGAAAGACCCCGUGAACCUUUACUAUAGCUUCACAUUGAUAUUGGGUAAUUCAUGUGUAGGAUAGGUGGGAGACGUUGAGGCUGCAUCGCUAGGUGUAGAUUAGUCGUCCUUGAAAUACCACCCUUGAAUUAUCUGAUGUCUAAUCCGCCCAAGGCGGAGACAUUGUGUGGUGGGUAGUUUGACUGGGGUGGUCGCCUCCAAAAGAGUAACGGAGGCUCCUAAAGGUACCCUCAGCACGCUUGGUAACCGUGCGUAGAGUGUAAUGGCAUAAGGGUGCUUGACUGAGAGACCGACAAGUCGACCAGGUAGGAAACUAGAGCAUAGUGAUCCGGUGGUUCCGUAUGGAAGGGCCAUCGCUCAAAGGAUAAAAGGUACUCCGGGGAUAACAGGCUGAUCACUCCCAAGAGCUCACAUCGACGGAGUGGUUUGGCACCUCGAUGUCGGCUCGUCACAUCCUGGGGCUGGAGAAGGUCCCAAGGGUUGGGCUGUUCGCCCAUUAAAGUGGCACGCGAGCUGGGUUCAGAACGUCGUGAGACAGUUCGGUCCCUAUCUGUUGUGGGCGUUAGAAAUUUGAGAGGACCUGCCUCUAGUACGAGAGGACCGGGGUGGACGAACCUCUGGUGUACCUGUUGUGGCGCCAGCUGCAUCGCAGGGUAGCUAUGUUCGGAUGAGAUAAGCGCUGAAAGCAUCUAAGCACGAAACUCACCUCAAGAUGAGAUUUCUUUUAAGGGCCGUGGAAGACUACCACGUUGAUAGGCUACAGGUGUAAAGACAGUAAUGUCAAAGCCGAGUAGUACUAAUUACCCGUAGACUUAUAAUA